GAGCUUCAACUUCUAUGCGAAUACGUAAAAGAGAUCCUUAUUGAGGAGUCCAAUGUGCAGCCUGUUAACAGUCCAGUCACUGUUUGUGGUGAUAUUCAUGGCCAGUUUCAUGAUCUAAUGAAACUUUUCCAGACUGGAGGUCACGUUCCUGAGACAAAUUACAUUUUUAUGGGAGAUUUUGUUGACCGAGGUUACAAUAGUCUUGAAGUUUUCACUAUUCUUUUGCUUCUUAAAGCAAGAUA
rnacentral:misc_RNA from 1 species